rnacentral:rRNA from 1 species
GAUGAACGCUGGCGGCGUGCCUAAUACAUGCAAGUAGAACGCUGAAGCUUGGUGCUUGCACCGAGCGGAAGAGUUGCGAACGGGUGAGUAACGCGUAGGUAACCUGCCUCUUAGCGGGGGAUAACUAUUGGAAACGAUAGCUAAUACCGCAUAAAAGUCGACAUUGCAUGAUGUUGACUUGAAAGGUGCAAAUGCAUCACUAAGAGAUGGACCUGCGUUGUAUUAGCUAGUUGGUGAGGUAACGGCUCACCAAGGCGACGAUACAUAGCCGACCUGAGAGGGUGAUCGGCCACACUGGGACUGAGACACGGCCCAGACUCCUACGGGAGGCAGCAGUAGGGAAUCUUCGGCAAUGGACGGAAGUCUGACCGAGCAACGCCGCGUGAGUGAAGAAGGUUUUCGGAUCGUAAAGCUCUGUUGUAAGAGAAGAACGAGUGUGAGAGUGGAAAGUUCACACUGUGACGGUAACUUACCAGAAAGGGACGGCUAACUACGUGCCAGCAGCCGCGGUAAUACGUAGGUCCCGAGCGUUAUCCGGAUUUAUUGGGCGUAAAGCGAGCGCAGGCGGUUAGAUAAGUCUGAAGUUAAAGGCUGUGGCUUAACCAUAGUACGCUUUGGAAACCGUUUAACUUGAGUGCAGAAGGGGAGAGUGGAAUUCCAUGUGUAGCGGUGAAAUGCGUAGAUAUAUGGAGGAACACCGGUGGCGAAAGCGGCUCUCUGGUCUGUAACUGACGCUGAGGCUCGAAAGCGUGGGGAGCAAACAGG